UACGUAGGUGGCAAGCGUUGUCCGGAUUUACUGGGCGUAAAGAGCGCGCAGGCGGUCGUUCAAGUCGCGUGUGAAAGCCCCCGGCUCAACUGGGGAGGGUCACGCGAUACUGAUCGACUCGAAGGCAGGAGAGGGAAGUGGAAUUCCCGGUGUAGUGGUGAAAUGCGUAGAUAUCGGGAGGAACACCAGUGGCGAAGGCGGCACUCUGGGCCAGUACUGACGCUGAGGAGCGAAAGCCAGGGGAGCAAACGGG
rnacentral:rRNA from 1 species